CUUCUUCAGGAAUCGUUUGUUUAUUCGGAAUGGGAAGAAAAAAGAAUGCAGAUCCCAAAUUCAAAGCAUGAUCUCCUUCACCCAGGACAUUCCCAUUUGUGUCUAUUUUCUGUUCUGGAAUACUAUAUUAAAGAACAUACAAGCGAAGGGCAUUGAUUGGAUCAACACUUAAACACUUAAGGAGACAACUACAGAUGCAAGAAGUCAAGUGGAGUCAAGCAAUAUAUAAUUAUGUUUAAUUCUGUGAAAAAUAAAUCCAUCAAGACUGGCUUAGAAUGCUUCACCAGCUGGCCAACCGGAAUUUGGACUUCAAAUUGCUGCUAGAAAAAUGUCUAUUAUUUAUCAUUCUUCUAUUACACUGUAACUUACGUGUUUUGCACUUUUAAUGCACUUUAUGCCGUAUAUGAUUGUGUAGUUUAUACUAUUCAUGUAGCAUUCUCGGUGCUGGAGGAACACUGUCUCGUUUUUCACUCUAUCAGUUGUAUAUGGUAGAAAUGACAAAUAAAAGCUACUCUUCUCUCAGGGAAGUGGU